AUUUAAUAUGUAAAUAUUACAUUAAAAAUUUAUUUGCAGUUUUUAGUUUUAAAACAUUAUUUAAGUAAGUUUUAGUAAUUAAUUAUAGAUUUAAUAAAAUUUGUGCCAGCAAUUGCGGUUAUACAAAUAAUUCAAUUGAAAUUUAUUGGUUAAUAAUUAAUUUGUUUUAAUUAAUUUAUUAUUAAAAUUUUUAAGUGAAAUUUAAAUUUUAAUAUAAUUUUUUUGUUUAUAUUUGAAGUUAUUAAAAUUAAUAUUAAACUAGGAUUAGAUACCCUAUUAUUAUAAUUGUAAAGUUUAAAUACCAGAUUAGUAUUAGUUGUUUUCUUAAAAAUUAAAGGAUUUGGCGGUAUUUUAGUCUAUUCAGAGGAACCUGUCCUGUAAUCGAUAAUCCACGAUUAGAAUAACUUUUCUUUUUCUUGUAUAUCGUUGUUUUUGAAUAUUUUAUAAGAAUUUAAAUUUUCAAUAAGUAUAUUUUAGUUAAUUUCAGAUCAAGGUGCAGUUUAUAGGAAAGAAGAUGAUGGGUUACAUUAAAUUUAUUUUUGGUUUAAUAUUUUGAAUAAUAUUAUUAAAUUGGAUUUGAUAGUAAUAUUUUAUAUAUUUAUUAUAUGAUUUUAGCUCUAAAAUGUGUACAUAUUGCCCGUCGCUCUCAUUUAUUUGAGAUAAGUCGUAACAAAGUAGAUUUACUGGAAAGUGAAUCUAGUAUUAA
rnacentral:ncRNA from 1 species